UGCGGAAGGAUCAUUACAGUAGUCGCCCGGGUUGCCGCAAGGCCUCCCGGGUAACCUACCACCCUUUGUUUAUUACACUUUGUUGCUUUGGCAAGCCUGCCCUCGGGCUGCUGGCUCCGGCCGGCGAGCGCUUGCCAGAGGACCUAAACUCUGUUUGUCUAUACUGUCUGAGUACUAUAUAAUAGUUAAAACUUUCAACAACGGAUCUCUUGGUUCUGGCAUCGAUGAAGAACGCAGCGAAAUGCGAUAAGUAAUGUGAAUUGCAGAAUUCAGUGAAUCAUCGAAUCUUUGAACGCACAUUGCGCCCCCUGGUAUUCCGGGGGGCAUGCCUGUCCGAGCGUCAUUACAACCCUCAAGCUCAGCUUGGUGUUGGGCCCCGCCGCCCCGGCGGGCCCUAAAGUCAGUGGCGGUGCCGUCCGGCUCCGAGCGUAGUAAUUCUUCUCGCUCUGGAGGCCCGGUCGUGUGCUCGCCAGCAACCCCCAAUUUUUUUCAGGUUGACCUCGGAUCAGGUAGGGAUACCCGCUGAACUUAAGCAUAUCUAAAACCCGGAAGAAAACAUUACAGUAGUCGCCCGGGUUGCCGCAGGCCUCCCGGGUAACCUACCACCCUUUGUUUAUUACACUUUGGUUGCUUUGGCAAGCUGCCUCGGGCUGCUGGCUCGGCCGGCGAGCGCUUGCCAGAGGACCUAAACUCUGUUUGUCUAUACCUGUCUGAGUACUAUAUAAUAGUUAAAAAC
rnacentral:rRNA from 2 species